GGGACCGUGGCCAAGUGGCACGGCGCCGGACGGCAGACGACAGCGGAUAAGUCCUUGAAUGCGGCCACGCACUGUAUCGGAGAACGGAGGUUCGAUCCCUCCCGGUCCCA
rnacentral:tRNA from 1 species